AGAGUUUGAUCAUGGCUCAGAACGUACGCUGGCGGCACGCCUAACACAUGCAAGUCGAACGAAGUAGCAAUACUUAGUGGCAGACGGGUGAGUAACAUGUAGGUAUCUGCCCUUUGGCCUGGAAUAACACGAGGAAACUUGUGCUAAUACCGGAUAAGUCUUUACGGAGAAAGCUUUAUGCACCAUUGGAUGAGCCUGCACUUGAUUAGUUUGUUGGUGGGGUAAUGGCCUACCAAGACUGUGAUCAAUAGCUGAUUUGAGAGGAUGAUCAGCCACAUUGGGACUGAGACACGGCCCAAACUCCUACGGGAGGCAGCAGUGGGGAAUCUUGCACAAUGGAGGAAACUCUGAUGCAGCGAUGCCGCGUGAGUGAAGAAGGCCCUUGGGUUGUAAAGCUCUUUCGUCGGGGAAGAAAAUGACUGUACCCGAAUAAGAAGGUCCGGCUAACUUCGUGCCAGCAGCCGCGGUAAUACGAAGGGACCUAGCGUAGUUCGGAAUUACUGGGCUUAAAGAGUUCGUAGGUGGUUGAAAAAGUUAGUGGUGAAAUCCCAGAGCUUAACUCUGGAACUGCCAUUAAAACUUUUCAGCUAGAGUAUGAUAGAGGAAAGCAGAAUUUCUAGUGUAGAGGUGAAAUUCGUAGAUAUUAGAAAGAAUACCAAUUGCGAAGGCAGCUUUCUGGAUCAUUACUGACACUGAGGAACGAAAGCAUGGGUAGCGAAGAGGAUUAGAUACCCUCGUAGUCCAUGCCGUAAACGAUGUGUGUUAGACGUUGGAAAUUUAUUUUCAGUGUCGCAGGGAAACCGAUAAACACACCGCCUGGGGAGUACGACCGCAAGGUUAAAACUCAAAUGAAUUGACGGGGACCCGCACAAGUAGUGGAGCAUGUGGUUUAAUUCGAAGAUACGCGCAGAACCUUACCAACACUUGACAUGUUCGUCGCGACUCUAAGAGAUUAGAGUUUUCGGUUCGGCCGGACGAAACACAGGUGCUGCAUGGCUGUCGUCAGCUCGUGUCGUGAGAUGUUGGGUUAAGUCCCGCAACGAGCGCAACCCUCACUUUUAGUUGCCAUCAUUAAGUUGGGCACUCUGAAAGAACUGCCAGUGAUAAGCUGGAGGAAGGUGGGGAUGACGUCAAGUCCUCAUGGCCCUUACGUGUUGGGCUACACACGUGCUACAAUGGUAUCUACAACAGGAAGCAAGACUGCGAAGUUAAGCAAAUCCCUAAAAGAUACCUCAGUUCGGAUUGCACUCUGCAACUCGAGUGCAUGAAGCUGGAAUUACUAGUAAUCGUGGAUCAGCGUGCCACGGUGAAUGCGUUCCCGGGUCUUGUACACACCGCCCGUCACACCAUGGGAGUUGGUUCUACCUUAAGGCAAGGUUCAAACCCUGACCACGG
rnacentral:rRNA from 1 species